UAUGGACAUAUUCUCUCCAGAAUG
rnacentral:miRNA from 1 species